UCCUUUAUCCUGGGAACCUGGCGUAGGGGUGAACUGAACACUAGGAUCAAGUGUAGGAUCUGUUCUCAUCAGUGUAAUAUCUGAUAUGUCAUCUAUAAGAGGACUUCAUAUUAAAUGGGUUUUUAGAACAGGGACUUGCCCCACUCACCCCACGCUGACCUGGUAACACAGAUCUCCUGGAGCAGCCGUGGCUCA
ensembl:snRNA U2 U2 spliceosomal RNA